rnacentral:rRNA from 1 species
UCAGGAUGAACGCUAGCUACAGGCUUAACACAUGCAAGUCAGGGGCAGCAGGACGAUAGCUUGCUAUGUUGCUGGCGACCGGCGCACGGGUGAGUAACGCGUAUCCAACCUUCCCCUUAGUAGGGCAUAGCCCGGUGAAAAUCGAUUAAUACCCUAUGUUGUGUCAUGAGGACAUCUGAAUAACACUAAAGAUUUAUCGCUAAGGGAUGGGGAUGCGUCCGAUUAGGUAGUCGGCGGGGUAACGGCCCACCGAGCCCUCGAUCGGUAGGGGUUCUGAGAGGAAGGUCCCCCACACUGGUACUGAGACACGGACCAGACUCCUACGGGAGGCAGCAGUGAGGAAUAUUGGUCAAUGGGCGUAAGCCUGAACCAGCCAAGUAAGCGUGCAGGAUGACGGCCCUAUGGGUUGUAAACUGCUUUUAUACGGGGAUAAAGUGAGGGACGUGUCCCUUAGUGUAGGUACCGUAUGAAUAAGGACCGGCUAAUUCCGUGCCAGCAGCCGC